AACGCACCUUGCACUCUUUGGUAUUCCGAAGAGUAUGUCUGUUUGAGUGUCAUGAAACUCUCAACCCCCUUGUUUUGUAAUGAAGCAGGCGUGGGCUUGGAUUAUGGCUGUCUGCUGGACUCUUUAAGUAGAGAUCGGCUCGGCUGAAAUAUACGAGUAACCCAGUUUGAAUAUUAACGGCUUGACUCGGCGUAAUAGCUUUAUUUCGCUGAGGACGUUUCAUAUCAAGAUAGUGGUGCUUCUAAUGCGUCGUAGCGUCAGCUGCACAACCUUUAAGCUUUAGACCUCAAAUCAGUCAGGACUACCCGCUGAACUUAA
rnacentral:misc_RNA from 1 species